UGGCUCAGUUGGUUGAGCGUCUGACUUCGGCUCAGGUCAAGAUCUCAUGGUUUGUGGGUUCGAGCCCCAU
rnacentral:tRNA from 1 species